AACAGCUGAGAUGAUCCGAGGAAUUUGGGUUCUCUUUUGAAGACUUACAGAGGAUGAUUCUGCCUGGCUCUACCCAAGAGGGUGCUGCCUCCUGAGAAGCCGACGUGCAUACAACCUUGAGCGUCUCUAGUUAAGGGACUUACUACCUCAGACAACCCCCCUUCUGUUUUAAGUUCUGUUGUUGGAAAACCUAGUAAAUAAUAAAAUGAGCACAACUAAUGACAAAAACGCAUUGCUGCAUCGUUGGCCCAAAGCUCAGCCAUAAAUGUUACUGAAUAUAGUCACCAAUUGGAUCUGGUCAGAAAGCCCCCAAAUGAUGCCAAAUAAGGAGCGUGUGCACUAGAACGCGAGGGCUGGGUGUUGCUUAGGCAUGGCUGGAAGGUACAUUUAAUAUAAAGAGCAUCUUCCUCUAAACGAAUAACUUGUUACCACGGAGCUUGCCAUACCCUAGAUCUCUGCAGGCAGCCAAAUAGAAGAUUGUGUGAUUUCCUGGAUGAUCCUUGCACUUAGCACAAUGUUAUUGAUUACAGUGAUUGAUUAAUGCAGAAAGGAAAAUAUUCUCCUAUUUUAAGGGGAAAGGCAUCUCAGUUACUGGGUUCCAUUUGGGCCUUGCUUACCGUUGUUCUAUUUGGUUUUUUAUUGUAAUGAUUUUCUAUCUCUCUGAAGUUUGAUAUGUGUUUGUUGAUAAUAUAUAUCAACAUAAUUCUCUA